rnacentral:rRNA from 1 species
UACGUAGGGCGCAAGCGUUAUCCGGAAUUAUUGGGCGUAAAGAGUUCGUAGGCGGUUUGUCGCGUCUGCCGUGAAAGUCCGGGGCUCAACUCCGGAUCUGCGGUGGGUACGGGCAGACUAGAGUGAUGUAGGGGAGACUGGAAUUCCUGGUGUAGCAGUGAAAUGCGUAGAUAUCAAGAGGAACACCAGUGGCGAAGGCGAGUCCCUGGACAAAUCCUGACACUGAGGCACGAAAGCUAGGGGAGCAAACAGG